GACGAACGCUGGCGGCGCGCUUAACACAUGCAAGUCGAACGGAAAGGCCUGCUUUCCCUUGUGGAUUGCGGGUACUCGCGUGGCGAACGGGUGAGUAACACGUGAGUGAUCUGCCCCCAACUUGGGUAUAAGCCUGGGAAACUGGGUCUAAUUCCCGAUAGGACUGCAGGGUGGGGCCUGUGGUGGAAAACGAUUUUCUAGUGGUUGGGGAUGAGCUGGCGGCCUAUCAGCUUGUUGGUGGGGUAAUGGCCUACCAAGGCGGCGACUGGUAGCCGGCCUGGGAGGGUGGACAGCCAGAUUGGGACUGAGAUACGGCCCAGACUCCUACGGGAAGAAGCAGAGGGGAAUAAUAGACAAUGGGCAGAAGCCUGAUGCAGCGACGCCGCGUGGGGGAUGACGGCCUUCGGGUUGUAAACUCCUUUCGACCGCGAGGAAGCCACCUGGUUGGAAGGGUGGUGACGGUAGUGGUAGAAGAAGCACCGGCUAACUACGUG
rnacentral:rRNA from 1 species